rnacentral:rRNA from 1 species
AACGAACGCUGGCGGCAGGCCUAAAACAUGCAAGUCGAACGCCCCGCAAGGGGAGUGGCGCACGGGUGAGUAACGCGUGGGAACGUGCCCUUCAGUACGGGACAACGUCGGGAAACUGACGCUAAUACCGUAUAAUAUCUCCGGAUCAAAGAUUUAUCGCUGAGGGAGCGGCCCGCGUCUGAUUAGCUAGUUGGUGAGGUAAUGGCUCACCAAGGCUACGAUCAGUAGCAGGUCUGAGAGGAUGAUCUGCCACACUGGGACUGAGACACGGCCCAGACUCCUACGGGAGGCAGCAGUUAGGAAUAUUGGACAAUGGGGGAAACCCUGAUCCAGCCAUGCCGCGUGUGUGAUGAACCGGCCCUAGGGUUGUAAAGCACUUUCGUUGGGGAUGAUAAUGACCGUACCCAAAGAAGAAGCACCGGCUAACUUCGUG